ACCUCUCCGCGGCCGCCUCGCCCCGCCGCAGCGCAGGCCACGUGUCGGGAGCGCGUCUGUUCCUCCACGGGACAGGGGAGAGGAGACCCCCGAGGAGGAAGCCUGGCGUCCUGGAGGCGAGCGAAGGACCUUCCCGGCCCGACGCGGUGGGCGGCCCCGAGGCCGAGGACGGCUGCGCGCGGGCCGGAGGCUCACCCGGGAGGACUCAGCCGCCAGGUCAGCUGGAGUCUCCUUUUGAGAAUCCUCCAGAGGAAUUUUGAGGAGCAGAAGCAAUCACAUCGGGUGCUAGGAGCCGUGGGAAACGCGUUUUGGGAAUUCCAGACACCAUGGCCCUCUCCACGUGGCGGAAGCUGGACCAAAGAGAAAAUUAAGCCGAUGCUGAUAUGCCAGUCAGAGCCGUGCUGAGAGGGAGACAGGGAGACGGGAAGGAGGAACACGAUGAUGAGGUAAAGGUUGACUGCAUGCCCAGAGGUUAACUUGCCAGUACUUCUACGUGUUGUGCCUGUCUGCAGUGGUGCAAGCUCCUAUCAUGUGGAGAAAGCCCUCAGGCAGAAGAACGGAGAGAGCCAGGAACUUGAUGUGGGGAGCUGCCAGUGUGCCAGGAGCCAUCUCUCACAGGAAUAGAAGAAAGAUGACAUGAAUGUUGUGGUCUACAGAAGAGCAAAUCCUUCAGAAGAACUUGGGUCUAGCACAUAUAAAGGUGGCUUUUAUACGCAAGUUUUAUUUAGGAUGUCAGAGUACGCAGGGUUGGCAGGAGUCCAUCAAGAAAUGCUUUGUAUCCAUUAUGUGUCCUUGGCUUUUGUGUGUUCUACAUAUUUUUUGAGCAGUUGUUUUACUAUGUAUUUAUCAUCUUAAAAUUAUGAUAUAAUACUUCACAAUGACAUCUUAAAGAUAAACAUUCCUGCCCUUUCUUCUUCUUUUUGCUUUGCUUUAGUUGACUAUUGGGAACAAAUUUAAAAAGUAAAUAGCUUGAGGAUAUUGUUACCUACAAUCUGAGGCUUUUUAAAUUUUUUCUUUUGUUAAAUAGAAAAUUCCUAUAAUUCUUGCAAUAUGCUCCUAUAAAACCCUGUUUAUUUACUGCUUAAUUUUCUAUUUGACAUUUUCACGAUACUUACUCAAAUUGAAAAACAGCUUCAAACUGAUUUGUAUUUAUAUACACAAUCCAGGAUAUUUCAUGUAAAAAACAGCAAAUCAUUUUAAAGCAUAAGAAAUUGACUUUCUGUUUGAUUCUGAUGAGAAACAAUGGUGUUUAAUGCAGUUUUACAAACUUUUGAGUAAUUUGUGUUGGUCAGAGAUUGUGCUAGUUCCAAAAUAAUAGACUGCACACCCAGCUUUCAUAUAGAGCAUGGCAGAUGAUUCUUGUUAUCGGAAAAAGUAAUACCAAGAAAUGACUGUGAGAUUCAGCUGUUUUUCCUGCAGUUGAGUUCUGAGAAGACAGACCUGAAACCAUGGGAUUGACAACCUGAUAUUUCAGUCCCAUUGCCAGGGGUACAUUUAUUUCAGUGAGUCUACCAAAUAGUGAAGAGUCAUUCCUGUGUACAUUCUUCCAUGGAGCUGUGCUAGCCCUCCCCAGAUUCCCUGUGUUCCGCAGUUUGGCCAUUUACCCAUUCAUCAGAUGGGAAGAUCAUAAUGGGCACUUUUCUAGUCAUUAUGUGACAAUGCCAAACAAUUCCACGAGGAAAAAAAAGAGUUGGAUGAGA